GCCUAGAAGCUGUGUGACCUUGGGCAAGUGACUUAACCUCUCUGAAUCUUUUCCCUCAGGUUGUGAUGAAGAUUGUAUGAGGUGAUACAUUGCUAAGAACAGGCGGCAUAUUGUAACUGCUCCAGGGUUAUUCACUAUUGUUAUCAUUUUCAUGGAGACUCUUCUGAAGUGCUCAUAACUUUCCUAAGAACAUUCCCAGCAUCUGAUCAUCACUGCAGAAAUGGUGAAAACAAGAGGUCACCUCCUAUAUUUUCAAGACAAGAAAACAGAGAAGCAAGUGUCAGUCCUGGGAUUCAUCCCCAGGCCUCCUGGCCAUCUGUUCAGGUUUCCUUCCUGCAGACCAGGCCAUCUCAAUGACCUUCAGAAGGUGGCCAAGGACCCUGUGAUUCUGUGACAUGGCUGGCCAGUCAUGUUAUACUGUGUCUGUGUAUUUAUGUGUACCUAUGGUAGACAUGAGAUGCUCUGUCCAGGUGUCCAGAUCUUCCUUCAAGAAAGAAGGAUCAAACAGCCUCCAGCAUCAGGAGCUUCAGGGUUGGCCUCAGCUGCUGAGAACUGCCUCACUUGCGGUCAAAUCUUUCCAGGACAACCUGUGUCAGAUGACUGAGCAAGACGGGUCAUAAAAGUCCGGCCACUUUGGCCUCACUUGGGACAGCUCUGACAGGCAAUAUUUGAUCUGAAACUUCCUGCCAGAUUGGCAGGAGCUUUGUCAGGCCUGCAUCAACAUUUGCCUUCUCCCUCUGCCCGAUCCUGCAUCUGCCCGCUUCUUUCCACAGGUAUGGAUACAUAGUAAACAUUCUUACCUCAUAUUCUGUCCCAGCAUCUGCUUCCAGACAACCCAGCCUGUGACAGUCCCCUGUCUUUUCUCUCCCAUUUGACAAAGAACACUGUCAGAGAUUAGAGAGACAAGACAGGCUGUAGAUGAAUGGCCCACUGGCAUAUUUUGAUUGGCCUGUACAGUUGUAUUAGUCUGUUUUCAUGCUGCUAAUAAAGACAUACCUGAGACUGGGUAAUUUAUAAAGGAAAAGAGGUUUAAUGGACUCAUAGUUCCACGUGGCUGAGGAGGCCUCAUAAUCAUGGUGGAAGGCAAAAGGCAUGUCUUACAUGGCAGCAGCCAAGACAGAAAUGAGAGCCAAGUGAAAGGGAUUUCCCUUUAUAAAACCAUCAGAUCCUGUGAGACUUAUUCCCUACCAGGAGAACAGUAUGGGGGAAACUGCCCCUGUGAUUCAAUUAUCUCCCACGAGGUCCCACAACACUUGGGAAUUAUGGGAGCUAUAAUUCAAAAUGAGAUUUGGGUGGGAACACAGCCAAACCAUAUCUGCAGUGUGGUUUGUAUACAGAUGAGUCAGUAUAGAAAAAUUGGAAUAUUACCCAUAAAAUCUAAAUUUCUAUAUUCUAUUUAAAAAUUAGAUGAUCAGGCAACAUUGGCCCUUUAUUCUUGAAUAAGAGACUAUUGGUUGGGGCUGAAGAGUGGCUUCCUCCUUUAGAGAGACGAGUUCUCCAGCUUGUCAAAGUCCCCAGAACUUUCUACAGACUUGUACCUGUUCACCUCCCUCCCUUGUGUUAUCUCCCUGACUCCUAUGAACAUCUGAGCUUUUCUUUUGACAAAUAUAGAUGGUUCAACAGAUGGAAAGCAGAAUCUUUCCUGUGCUACCAUAUCUUUUUGAUUCGAUAUGGAUCUUUAAGAAUUGGAUUUCUCUCGGUUUAAGGCCACGAGAGCCUUUUGCUGGGUCCUUGGUUUAGCUAAGCACUCAGGGCCACUAUCGCUGCCCUCUGUCACUCACCACCCCCAGAAAAAGGUGUUCUCCAUGGACACAUGGCAGGGAACAACACAUACUGGGGCCUGUCGGGGGAUAGGGGGUGGGAGGAGGG
rnacentral:lncRNA from 10 species